rnacentral:rRNA from 1 species
UACGGAGGUGGCAAGCGUUGCUCGGAAUCACUGGGCGUAAAGCGUGCGCAGGCGGUGAUGUAAGACAGAUGUGAAAUCCCCGGGCGUCAACCUCGGGAACUGCAUUUGUGACUGCAUCGCUGGAGUGCGGCAGAGGGGGAUGGAAUUCCGGCGUGUAGCAGUGAAAUGCGUAGAUAUGCGGAGGAACACCGAUGGCGAAGGCAAUCCCCUGGGCCUGCACUGACGCUCCAUGCACGAAAGCGUGGGGAGCAAACAGG